rnacentral:pre_miRNA from 1 species
AGUAGGAGCGCUUCCCUGUCAAUAUUAUGGCCGGGAUCAUAAACAACUGUCAUAUAUCUCUUAACGUACACUAUGUCGAGUUCUGUUCAAUUUUUUCAUUUUCUCAGUCCCUUAUCGAUGGAUAAUUUGCAUAGUGGGAAAAUUAAUUGAAAAGAACUGCACACAGUGUAAGCGAAAGGUUUGCGCUGAGUGAGUGAGAGACAGAUAUGAGGUUGUUUGAGAUCCCUGGGCAUGAUAUAUACAGGGAUGAGCUCGUACU